rnacentral:misc_RNA from 1 species
UACGAGUGGCCCGAGCGUUGCGCGGAUUCACUGGGCUUAAAGCGUGCGUAGGCGGGAGCGUAAGUACUUUGUGAAAGCCCACGGCUCAACCGUGGAAUUGCAGGGUAUACUGCGUUCCUUGAGGCCGGUAGAGGUUGUCGGAACUCUAGGUGUAGCGGUGAAAUGCGUAGAUAUCUAGAGGAACGCCCAUGGUGAAGACAGGCAACUGGACCGGUACUGACGCUGAGGCACGAAAGCGUGGGGAUCAAACAGG